AUUGAACGCUGGCGGCAGGCCUAACACAUGCAAGUCGAGCGGAUGAGAAGAGCUUGCUCUUCGAUUCAGCGGCGGACGGGUGAGUAAUGCCUAGGAAUCUGCCUGGUAGUGGGGGACAACGUUUCGAAAGGAACGCUAAUACCGCAUACGUCCUACGGGAGAAAGCAGGGGACCUUCGGGCCUUGCGCUAUCAGAUGAGCCUAGGUCGGAUUAGCUAGUUGGUGAGGUAAUGGCUCACCAAGGCGACGAUCCGUAACUGGUCUGAGAGGAUGAUCAGUCACACUGGAACUGAGACACGGUCCAGACUCCUACGGGAGGCAGCAGUGGGGAAUAGUGGACAAUGGGCGAAAGCCUGAUCCAGCCAUGCCGCGUGUGUGAAGAAGGUCUUCGGAUUGUAAAGCACUUUAAGUUGGGAGGAAGGGCAGUAAGUUAAUACCUUGCUGUUUUGACGUCACCGACAGAAUAAGCACCGGCUAACUCUGUGCCAGCCGCCGCGGUAAGAC
rnacentral:rRNA from 1 species